AGGGUGUUAGUUUAAUAAAAAUUACUUAUUUGCAAUAAGUUGAUUUACAGAUUUGUAAGUACCUUU
rnacentral:tRNA from 1 species